rnacentral:misc_RNA from 1 species
AAAAAUGAGAAAUUUAGCUCAAGUUUGAAUAUAGUCUGAAGUCUGAACAACUUUCAGUCCCAGAAAUCGGAAUUCUCAGUAUAAUGCAUAAUGAAUAGGAUAGAAGCUGACAAAUAUUCUCGUAACAUAAAAGGGAAAUUAAAUUCUAAACACAUAUCAAGGCAUCUCCUUCCUAUUACAAGAAUCCUAUAGUAUAUGAUAUGUUGAAAAUAAUUGCAUAAUUAAGCUCAAAUUGGAUCAACAUCACAAUUGCAUAAGCAAUGCAACUAAUUAAUUAAACCUUAUCACAGAAGACGACGUGGUUGACGAACACUAAGUAACUUCACAUCAUCUAAUACAGGACCACAGAGAGAACCAGAGUUGUCACUUUUCAUGGUAUAAAAUGAGCUCAGGAACAUAACCCUCGUGCGUGUUGACACAGCCUUGAACUGGAAUCUGGCACGCUUGAACCCUCCUUUGCCCUUGGAUUGAUAAGGAACUUCAAUUUUAUCCUUUCCUGCAUAUGCCUCUAUUACCAUGGAUCCCUCGCAUGAAUUGUUAGAAUCUCCCACAUUGAAGGUUAGGAUAUAGGUCUUUCCGGGUAUGGUCUUAACUAUCUGUGCAAGGGCACUUUCUUUUCCUGCCACAAGUUCAACGGCUCGUUUGCCUUCUGGGACUGAAAAGUGAGCCGAGUCUAUGUACUUUACUGCCUUGAGAGAUUCAAUUAUCCAGCCAGGUAAAGGACUGUGAUCAUCUUCAAUUUGGGGUGGUAUUAGGACGCCCCAGUCUGCGUUGGGGAACACAUAUGGUCCCUCUUCAAAAUUUCCAUUCUUUAGCAAGUUGCUUCUGGUACGCUUGGGAUUAGAUAGAAACUUCAGUGCUACAGAAUCAAUAAGUGGGCCGCAGGCAGGAUCCUCCUCCACACCUGGGUUGUGGAUAGUGAUCUCAACUUCAGAAGCAUCAGCCUGGAAAGCCCAAGCAUAUGUAUCCCACCCAUUGCUGCUAUACAUUGUUUGCAUUGGCAGGAUUCCCCAAUCAUUUGGCUCUGAAUUCGGUGAAACAGAAACAUUUAGCUUCUCCUCUUGGGCACAGGUGCGAGCUACGUUGAAAGUUAUAGAGUAAUAGCUGUUCUUUGUGACAUUAAUCUUCUGCUUGAUGAAUGCUUCAUUGCCUAAUCUAACUGCAAAAGCUCCACCAGGCACAACUAGUAGCAUGUCGCCUUGUUUUUGGCCUGAUUUUAUGUACUCAACAUAGCCUGAAAUUUCCCAGUUAGGGAUAGCAUUCUUUGCUGUUACUACUGUUCCUUUCAUUUGCGAUGGCUUUGGGCCGUACUCAAAGUCCCCAUUUGGCAAUAAACCGUCGGUCACCGAGAAAGCGACGUGACAGGCGGUGCAAAGAAGUAGUAGCAGCACCGUGGCUCUGUACAUUGUGGCUGUUGUAGCCUCGGCGAGAGAGAGAGAGAGAGAGAGA